rnacentral:rRNA from 1 species
AAGGAGGGGGCAAGCGUUGAGAGGAAUGAAAGGGCGUAAAGGGUGUGUAGGCGGCUGAUUAAGUCAAGGAUGAAAUCCCGAGGCUCAACUUCGGAACGGUCCUUGAUACUGGUCAGCUUGAGGCUAGUAAAGGGGAGCGGAAUUCCCGGUGGAGCGGUGAAAUGCGUAGAUAUCGGGAGGAACACCAGAGGCGUAGGCGGUUCUCUAGGCUAGUCCUGACGCUGAGACACGAAAGCUAGGGGAGCAAACGG